UUUUCGUUAUCAUGACUGUGACGUGAAGGGGGCAGCAUUCUCAAGGCUCUUAGAAGACCGAGGGUAUUCUCGUGCCAUCGACACUUCCGUCACGAUAUCUGCCUUAACUUAACCUAAAGGCGUGUUUCAGCGUUCAGAAUGCUUCGACCGACCCGGAUCCUGUUACUGGUGGUGAUGUUGACAAUGGCGGCCAUGUUGGUUGUUGAGGCCGCGCCCGUACAGGAUGAAGAGGCCAGGGAUUUCGCUGUUAAAUGUAUACUGUGCAGUCCUACUUGCCGACCGUGCUACAAGCCCGACCAUAACAACGUGUGUCGGCCAAUCUUCAACUGCACCCCUUGACUUCUUCCGCUAUGAAAAGGGGCGGUUAUUGGUGGCUGGGAUGAAAAUAUAGACUAAGAGGAAAUCGGAAAAGAUGGAUAGAGGAGUAUGAAGAGGAAGGAGGAUGUUAUACGAGUUUAAUGCUUGUAUAAGGAAUACGAUGGAUGGAUAUGUUAAGAGUUGGUGAUAAUGGUUUAAUUGAUACAGUUCUUAAAUUUUUGGUUUUCA
rnacentral:lncRNA from 1 species